rnacentral:lncRNA from 1 species
CCUAUCAAAAGUUACGGUGAAGUCAGGGUGGGUGGCGAGUCCCUGCAAGGUCGCCCCUCUGUGCCAACACAGCCUGAUGGCUUCUUGUUUCAGGAAACAUCCAGAAUUACAACUGGCCAUUGAGUUAUUACAUAUCAAUUGAACAAGGUAGUUUUAAAAUGAAAGAAAAUCUUGCAACAUGAAUAAAGAGAUAGACUCUUUGAAUCUGGCAUACAGCUUUCCCUUCCUUCUUCCUGCUUUCCUGGACACACCGUGGACAGACCCAUUUCCCUCUGGAUUCAUGGUAAGGUCCCGAGUGCUUCUGAUGCAGCUGCUGAGCAGACCCCGCUCAUCUCAGGAGUCCCGAGGACACUCGCUUCCCUGCAGCCCGUCCGCCCUCCAUAAGCCUGGGGGCAUCUGCCCUGCAGCACUGGGGAGGAGCCACCUCCUUGUCUGGGAACAGCCAAGCCUCCGUGACAGCUGAGGAUUCUUGUGGAUUGUUCUUUCUGUAACUGGACAGCACAUCCGGAAUUCCUUGCCAUAGCUCUGUGCCUUGCUGGGGUCUGAGGUUCACAGGUCAGAUGCUGCUGUCUGGUCCUUCCCAAUUGCGGCGUGAAUUCCUUCAUCCUCACCAGUAGCUUCUUGCUCUCCCCAAGGGAGGCACGUGCUUAGUAGGGAGAGAGGCCUACCAAGGUUGCCAUCUGCCAUGGGCUCAAUUGUGUCCCCAACCCCCCUG